UACGUAGGGUGCGAGCGUUGUCCGGAAUUAUUGGGCGUAAAGCGUCCGCAGGGGGCAGUUCAAGUCUGCUGUCAAAGACCGGGGCUUAACUUCGGAAAGGCAGUGGAAACUGAACAGCUAGAGUAUGGUAGGGGCAGAGGGAAUUCCUGGUGUAGCGGUGAAAUGCGUAGAGAUCAGGAAGAACAUCGGUGGCGAAGGCGGGUCUCUGGGCCGAUACUGACGCUGAGGAGCGAAAGCGUGGGGAGCGAACAGG
rnacentral:rRNA from 1 species